GACGAACGCUGGCGGCGUGCUUAACACAUGCAAGUCGAACGGAAAGGCCCUGCUUUUGUGGGGUGCUCGAGUGGCGAACGGGUGAGUAACACGUGAGUAACCUGCCCUUGACUUUGGGAUAACUUCAGGAAACUGGGGCUAAUACCGGAUAGGAGCUCCUGCUGCAUGGUGGGGGUUGGAAAGUUUCGGCGGUUGGGGAUGGACUCGCGGCUUAUCAGCUUGUUGGUUGGGUAGUGGCUUACCAAGGCUUUGAAGGGUAGCCGGCCUGAGAGGGUGGCCGGCCACAAUGGGACUGCGAUACGGCCCAGACGCCUACGGGAGGCAGCAGUGGGGAAUAUUGCACAAUGGGCGGAAGCCUGAUGCAGCAACGCUGGGUGCGGGAUGACGGCCUUCGGGUUGUAAACCGCUUUCGCCUGUGACGAAGCGUGAGUGACGGUAAUGGGUAAAGAAGCACCGGCUAACUACGUG
rnacentral:rRNA from 1 species